rnacentral:lncRNA from 1 species
AUCUCUCAAAGAAAUAAUAGAACUGUGAAACCAUUCAAGUUUUGAAGAGAGGAGACAUAGAGUAAAACUCACAUUUCAAUGUAUUUCUAGUUUCAGUAGCAAACAGACUAAAGAGAAACUAGUCUGGGGGAAAGGUAACAAUUUGACAACUGAAAGUAUCCGUGCAAAAUCUGCUGCUACCUUGGACUAAAAUACUAGAAGUGGAGCUAGUGAAAAAGCAGUUCAUUCCAAACUUGAAGGUAAAAUCCAUAGAGCUGUCAAGGAAGUCUCAUUUUUUUUAAUCAAGCAAUUAGAUGCACAGAAUUCUGGUUUACUAAGACAGGAGUACUGCCAGGAUGAACAGGUUAUAGGGCUAGGAUUUGAGAAAUAUAUAAUUUGGAUUUGGACACCUUAGAUUUGAAGUUCACAUCAGACAUCCAACUAGACAUGAUAAAUUGGCCAUGGCAUAUUAGAGCAUAGAUUUCAAAGAAGAUGAUUCUAGCAACAGUGUAUAAAUGACAAAGUUAAGGCAUGAGAUGACUUUACCAAAGACUGAGUAAAUACAAAGAAGAGAGAAGGUCCAUAGACUGAGUCCUGGAGCACUUCUCUUUCCAAUGUGAAGAAGAUGAAGAGCAACAAUCUGAGAAACCGCAUCUAAUGAUGUAGAAGGAUCAUCAAAAGAGAGUGGUGCCCCACAUUUCUAGUGUAUUUCAAGGAUAAAGUCAUCAUCAUCUCUAUCAAAACCUGCUUCUAAGAAAGCAAAUAAAGACUUCAAAGUGAUCCCUGGAUUUUACAACAUGGAGCCUCCAGUGGCAUGAUAGCAGUUAUCCUUAUGAAAUGGCAAGGGUGAAACUGGAAUAAAGUGUGUUUAACAGAGAAUGGGAGAGGAAGUGGGAAAAGCUUA